CACAAAUGUCCUGUGCUUCAGGUCGAGUCUGUGUGAUCGCGAAACCUCUUCUCUCUGAUUUCUGCUCUAAGACUUCAGUGACAUGAUGAACUCAGAAAACAAUACAACAUCAGAGUGAAUCAGUGACCGUCCUGGAGGGACAGAACAACAGAUGGGGUCCGAUCCAGUGAUUUCCUCUGCUGAGUUAAAGGAAAUAUGGCCGUCCCAUACUUCCCAUCCUGCGACAUGAGUCCGAGACGUGUGGCACGACACUACACACACAACUGACACGGUAUCUCUCCCUGGCUCCGACCAGAUACAUCCUCAGUGGAAACUCGGUUUACUCUGGAGCCUUCUUGUAUGCAUCGUGUGGGGAGUGGUAUUUCUGGAUGCAUAGAUAAGAGGUCACAUUUGUAACUCAAUAACAGCAUAAAAGGACAACAAGACUAUUCCGGAUCCAGCAGGACGAAGACGUAAACAAACUGUGGAUUAGCUCGAUGUUGGCCCAGUGGCUCUAAUGUCCCCACACACAUAGCUCCCUCUCCCCAACCAUUUACCCAUGUACUGUGGCUUUAAAUACAUCCUGUUACCAUGACCAGUCACCAUGCUAAAAACACAGACACACACACGUUAUAGACACAUAACACACGACUGACUGAAAAGUUACCUCUGGUAAGCCCAAGAACCAAAACACCACAGUCCAAUCUACUUCAAUUGUCUCCGAUGUAAACAGCUGCACUGAUUUAUAAAAAGAAAUUCCGCAUUAUAU